rnacentral:rRNA from 1 species
CCCUUAGAUGUUCUGGGCUGCACGCGCGCUACACUGAAGCUAUCAACACGUUUUCCCUCCCUGAGAAGGGCGGGUAACCUUUUGAAUCAGCUUCGUGGUAGGGAUCGGGGCUUGCAAUUGUUCCCCGUGAACCAGGAAUUCCUAGUAGACGCGAGUCAUAAGCUCGCAUCGAUUAAGUCCCUGCCCUUUGUACACACCGCCCGUCGCUACUACCGAUUGAACGUUUUAGUGAGGCAUUUGGACCGACGCAUCUCAGUUUAACCGCUGGUUUGUGUUGGAAAGACUUCCAAACUUGAGCGUUUAGAGGAAGUAAAAGACGUAACA